AAUGAACGUUGGCGGCGUGGAUUAGGCAUGCAAGUCGUGCGCGAAACGUAGCAAUACGUGGAGAGCGGCGAAAGGGAGAGUACAACACGGUUAGCUACCCUCGGGACUGGGAUAGCGGCGGGAAACUGCCGGUAAUACCAGCUGACGUCUUCGGACCAAACGUGUAAACCGGCCCGAGGAGGCGACCGUGUCCUAUCAGCUAGUUGGCGGUGUAAUGGACCACCAAGGCUAAGACGGGUAUGGGGCGUGAGAGCGUGCCCCCACUCACUGGGACUGAGACACUGCCCAGACACCUACGGGUGGCUGCAGUCGAGAAUCUUCGGCAAUGGGCGCAAGCCUGACCGAGCGACGCCGCGUGCGGGAUGAAGGCCUUCGGGUUGUAAACCGCUGUCGUAGGGGAGGAAGGUCUGGUGUAGAGCCAGGCUUGACCGAUCCUAGGAGGAAGGGCCGGCUAAUCUCGUGCCAGCCGCCGCGGUAAGAC
rnacentral:rRNA from 1 species